rnacentral:rRNA from 1 species
UACGUAGGGUGCAAGCGUUGUCCGGAAUUAUUGGGCGUAAAGAGCUCGUAGGCGGUUUGUCGCGUCGAAUGUGAAAACCCGGGGCUCAACCCCGGGCCUGCAUUCGAUACGGGCAGACUAGAGUUCGGUAGGGGAGUCUGGAAUUCCUGGUGUAGCGGUGAAAUGCGCAGAUAUCAGGAGGAACACCGGUGGCGAAGGCGGCGUUCUGGACUGUAACUGACACUGAGGAACGAAAGCCAGGGGAGCAAACGGG